CCUACGGGAGGCAGCAGUAAGGAAUAUUGGACAAUGCUCGCAAGAGUGAUCCAGCCAUGCCGCGUGCAGGAAGAAUGCCCUAUGGGUAGUAAACUGCUUUUGAACUAGAGAAAACCCCAGUACGUGUACUGGGCUGAUAGUAUAGUUAGAAUAAGCAUCGGCUAACUUCGUGCCAGCAGCCGCGGUAAGACGAAGGAUGCAAGCGUUAUCCGGAUUCAUUGGGUUUAAAGGGAGCGUAGGUGGACUUAUAAGUCAGUGGUGAAAUCUCCGAGCUUAACUCGGAAAUUGCCAUUGAUACUGUAGGUCUUGAGUACAGUUGCUGUGGGCGGAAUAUGACAUGUAGUGGUGAAAUACAUAGAGAUGUCAUAGAACACCGAUUGCGAAGGCAGCUCACAAAGCUGUAACUGACACUGAGGCUCGAAAGUGCGGGGAUCAAACAGGAUUAGAUACCCUGGUAGUCCGCACCGUAAACGAUGAUUACUCGCUGCUAGGGGGCAACCUUUAGUGGCUUAGCGAAAGCGAUAAGUAAUCCACCUGGGGAGUACGCCGGCAACGGUGAAACUUAAAGGAAUUGACGG
rnacentral:rRNA from 1 species